GCUCCUACCGAUUGAGUGAUCCGGUGAAUUAUUCGGACUGACGCAGUGCUCAGCUUCGGGACGUUGCGUUGGAAAGUUUCAUGAACCUUAUCACUUAGAGGAAGGAGAAGUCGUAACAAGGUUUCCGUAGGUGAACCUGCAGAAGGAUCAAGAUCGGAAGAGCGGAGUGUCGGGAAAGAGUGGAGAUCUCGUCGGGCGGCGCACCGUUACAAAAAAAAAAAAGAUCACACAUCAUAUAGCGCGCUACUUGACCACUGUAAGUCGCUCCACGCUAUG
rnacentral:misc_RNA from 1 species